GAUGAACGCUGACAGAAUGCUUAACACAUCAGCAAUUGAUUGUUGGCGGACGGGUGAGUAACGCGUAAAGUACUUAACUCACAGCUUGGGACAACAUUUGGAAGCGAAUGCUAAUCCCUAAUACUGUGGGAGAGCUGUGCGUCCCAUUAGCUAGUUGAGGUGGUAACGGCUCACGAAGGCGAUGAUGGGUAGCCGGCCUGAGAGGGUGAUAGGCCCCGAUGGGCCUCGGACACGGCCAUUAGUCAUACGGGAGGAAGCAGUGGGGACUAUUGGACGAUGGACCAAUGUAUGAUCCAGCCAUUCGGUGUGCACGAUGAAGUUUUCGGAAUGUAAAGUGCUUGUAGUUGGGAAACGGUACCAACAGAAGAAGUGACGGCUAACUCCGUGCCAGCAGCCGCGGUAAUUC
rnacentral:rRNA from 1 species